CUACGGGGCGCAGCAGUAAGGAAUAUUGCGCAAUGGAGGCAACUCUGACGCAGCCAUGCCGCGUGCAGGACUGAAGGCCUUAUGGGUCGUAAACCGCUUUUAUUUAGGAAUAAACUCUUGUACGUGUACGAGACUGAAGGUACUAAAUGAAUAAGCACCGGCUAACUCCGUGCCAGCAGCCGCGGUAAUACGGAGGGUGCAAGCGCUAUCCGGAUUUAUUGGGUUUAAAGGGUGCGCAGGCGGACUAUUAAGUCAGAGGUGAAAUCCCGGAGCUCAACUUCGGAACUGCCUUUGAUACUGGUAGUCUUGAAUACGGUUGAAGUAGGCGGAAUGUAGCAUGUAGCGGUGAAAUGCAUAGAGAUGCUACAGAACACCGAUCGCGAAGGCAGCUUACUAAGCCGAUAUUGACGCUCAGGCACGAAAGCGUGGGGAGCGAACAGGAUUAGAUACCCGCGUAGUC
rnacentral:rRNA from 1 species